GAGUGAGGCUGGUGACACUUCGUUCACACCGAAGGGGUCACAGGUUCAAAUCCUGUACCGCCCA
rnacentral:tRNA from 1 species